CUAGAGGAAGGCAUGCGUCCUUCCCAAAGCUGCACGCUUGGUUGAAGAGGAUGACCUUCCCCGAUAGAGGUAUCCUGCUCAUCGGUCAAGGGGGG
rnacentral:snRNA from 1 species